rnacentral:rRNA from 1 species
GCCAACGAUCAUACCACGUUGACUACACCAGUUCCCGACAGAUCGCUGAAGUUAAGUAACGUCGGGCGUGGUUAUCACUUGGAUGGGUGACCGCUUGGGAACACCACGUAUCGUUGGCUCAU